AUUGAACGCUGGCGGCAGGCUUAACACAUGCAAGUCGAGCGGGGUGAUGGUGCUUGCACUAUCACUUAGCGGCGGACGGGUGAGUAAUGCUUAGGAAUCUGCCUAUUAGUGGGGGACAACAUCUCGAAAGGGACGCUAAUACCGCAUACGCCCUACGGGGGAAAGCAGGGGAUCACUUGUGACCUUGCGUUAAUAGAUGAGCCUAAGUCGGAUUAGCUAGUUGGUGGGGGAAAGGCCUACCAAGGCGACGAUCUGUAGCGGGUCUGAGAGGAUGAUCGGCCACGCUGGGACUGAGACACGGCCCAGACUCCUACGGGAGGCAGCAGUGGGGAAUAUUGGACGAUGGGGGGAACCCUGAUCUAGCCAUGCCGCGUGUGUGAAGAAGGCCUUAUGGUUGUAAAGCACUUUAAGCGAGGAGGAGGCUCUGUUGGUUAAUACCCAAGAUGAGUGGACGUUACUCGCAGAAUAAGCGCCGGCUAACUCUGUGCCAGCAGCCGCGGUAA
rnacentral:rRNA from 1 species